rnacentral:rRNA from 1 species
ACGAACGCUGGCGGCGUGCCUCAUACAUGCAAGUAGCACGCUGAAGGAGGAGCUUGCUCUUCUGGAUGAGUUGCGAACGGGUGAGUAACGCGUAGGUAACCUGCCUGGUAGCGGGGGAUAACUAUUGGAAACGAUAGCUAAUACCGCAUAACAGUAGAUGUUGCAUGACAUUUACUUAAAAGGUGCAAUUGCAUCACUACCAGAUGGACCUGCGUUGUAUUAGCUAGUUGGUGGGGUAACGGCUCACCAAGGCGACGAUACAUAGCCGACCUGAGAGGGUGAUCGGCCACACUGGGACUGAGACACGGCCCAGACUCCUACGGGAGGCAGCAGUAGGGAAUCUUCGGCAAUGGACGGAAGUCUGACCGAGCAACGCCGCGUGAGUGAAGAAGGUUUUCGGAUCGUAAAGCUCUGUUGUAAGAGAAGAACGAGUGUGAGAGUGGAAAGUUCACACUGUGACGGUAUCUUACCAGAAAGGGACGGCUAACUACGUG